AUAUUCUAUGGAAAUAUCAGGUGAUUCACAACAUGCAGUUCUUUCCUCAGCUGACUCAGUGUAUGCUGAAGUAUUAUAGCAAUCUAAAAAAAAAUUAUUAUAUUUUAACUCCAAGUCUGAGCUAUUCAAAUUACUUGGUUGACUUUUGUAUGUGUAUCAAUCUACCAUUACUGAUUUUAUUUAAAAAAUGGCUGCUACAGUUUUAUAAUGCUUUUCUAUUCUUUUUUUCUGUGGAACAGAGGACCAGUAGAAGCAAACUCAGUAAGGAAGAGAUAAAACACAGAAGACUGGAGAACCAAAUCAAGUUACUUAAUAAAUUUGGAUCUAUGUGGCUUGUGACCCUAAGUCAACACUAUAUUCCAGACUGUGGGAUUUGUAACUGGAAGGAGUCAGUAAAAGCUCCCCAGCAAAUGUCAGGGGGUUACUGUUCCCUGACUCAGUGGGUUCAAGAUGCAGGAGACCAGGAAAAGGAAAAUCUCAUUUCCAAACUGUUAUGAGCAGCUGAUCCCACUUCCCCCUGCAUUUGCAGUUGGAAAGAACAACUGGUGCUGUAACAUGUAGCUGAGCAAUUACAGAGAAGGAUGACUUUCCCCAUGUUGUACCAGUCUGUUCAAGAAUCUACAGGCAGAUGCUACACAUUUCUAUCCAGGAAAUGCAGAGAAAUCAGGAAUCCACAUUUCUGCAGGCUUUGAAGAAGACUGUUUUUGGAAUCACCUUGUCUUAUGACACCAUGGAAUCUGCUACUGUUCCAAAGAGGAAG